AAACCAUGGUGAGAGCACCUCUGUAAGAGAUCCUUAUACCCUUCCCAUGCUUCAUACAAUGACUCUGAAUCUUGUUGGUAAAAGUUGGUAAUUUCACUCCUCAGCUU